rnacentral:rRNA from 1 species
AAUCAACGCUGGCGGCGUGCCUCAGACAUGCAAGUCGAACGCGAAAGCUCCCUUCGGGGAGCAAGUAGAGUGGCGCACGGGUGAGUAACACGUAGGUAGUCUACCUUUGGAUGGGGAAUAACAACCGGAAACGGUUGCUAAUACCGCAUAAUGCAGCGGCACCUAAUGGUGACAGUUGUUAAAGCGGGGGAUCGCAAGACCUCGCGUCUGAAGAGGAGCCUGCGGCGGAUUAGCUAGUUGGUAGGGUAACGGCUUACCAAGGCGAUGAUCCGUAGCCGGCCUGAGAGGGCGGUCGGCCACACUGACACUGACAUACGGGUCAGACUCCUACGGGAGGCAGCAGUCGGGAAUUUUGGGCAAUGGGCGAAAGCCUGACCCAGCAACGCCGCGUGAAGGAUGAAAUCCUUCGGGAUGUAAACUUCGCAAGAACGGGAAGAAUAUUUCUGCUCAAAUAUCGCAGAUGAUGACGGUACUGUUUGUAAGCUCCGGCUAACUCCGUG